ACUCAAAUGAAUUGACGGGAGCCCGCACAAGCAGUGGAGUAUGUUGUUUAAUUCGAUGCAACGCGAAGAACCUUACCAGGUCUUGACAUCCACGGAAGACGGCGUAAUGGCUGUUGUGCCCUUAGGGGAGCCGUGAGACAGGUAGUGCAUGGUUGUCGUCAGCUCGUGUCGUGAGAUGUUGGGUUAAGUCCCGCAACGAGCGCAACCCUUACGGAUAGUUGCUAGUCCCGAUUGGGAAAGCACUCUAUUCGGACUGCCGUUGACAAAACGGAGGAAGGUGGGGAUGAUGUCAAAUCAUCAUGCUCUUUAUGAUCUGGGCUACAAACGUACUACAAUGGCGCGAACAAAGGGGAGCGAAGCCGCGAGGCGGAGCAAAUCCCAAAAACGCGUCCCAGUUCGGAUUGCAGGCUGCAACCCGCCUGCAUGAAGUCGGAAUUGCUAGUAAUCGCGGGUCAGCAUACCGCGGUGAAUACGUUCCCGGGCUUUGUACACACCGCCCGU
rnacentral:rRNA from 1 species